rnacentral:sRNA from 1 species
GCGCAGCAUACGCCGAGCCGGUUUUUGAGCGCUAACGUCUUUCUGUCUCCCCGCGGUGGUGAUGACGGUGAAAACCGAGGCUGCUAAGGGCACCCUCACUUACUCCAGGAUGAGGGGCAUGGUGGCAAUUCUCAUCGCUUUCAUGAAGCAGAGGAGGAUGGGUCUGAACGACUUUAUUCAGAAGAUUGCCAAUAACUCCUAUGCAUGCAAACACCCUGAAGUUCAGUCCAUCUUGAAAAUUUCCCAACCUCAGGAGCCUGAGCUUAUGAAUGCCAACCCUUCUCCUCCACCAAGUCCUUCUCAGCAAAUCAACCUUGGCCCGUCGUCCAAUCCUCAUGCUAAACCAUCUGACUUUCACUUCUUGAAAGUGAUCGGGAAGGGCAGUUUUGGAAAGGUAAUUUCAAAUCUGAAGAUCUUUUGGUACACUUCUUCGUGUCCUCUUUUACAUUCUCUCUGGAUGAGGAUAGAAAAACGAUUUUUUUAAAUUGAAAUUUCAGGUUCUUCUAGCAAGACACAAGGCAGAAGAAGUGUUCUAUGCAGUCAAAGUUUUACAGAAGAAAGCAAUCCUGAAAAAGAAAGAGGAGAAGCAUAUUAUGUCGGAGCGGAAUGUUCUGUUGAAGAAUGUGAAGCACCCUUUCCUGGUGGGCCUUCACUUCUCUUUCCAGACUGCUGACAAAUUGUACUUUGUCCUAGACUACAUUAAUGGUGGAGAGUUGUUCUACCAUCUCCAGAGGGAACGCUGCUUCCUGGAACCACGGGCUC